rnacentral:rRNA from 1 species
AUUGAACGCUGGCGGCAUGCUUUACACAUGCAAGUCGAACGGUAACAGGGUGCUUGCACCGCCGACGAGUGGCGAACGGGUGAGUAAUGCGUCGGAACGCACCGAGUAAUGGGGGAUAACGCAGCGAAAGCUGUGCUAAUACCGCAUACGCUCUGAGGAGGAAAGCGGGGGACCUUCGGGCCUCGCGUUAUUCGAGCGGCCGACGUCUGAUUAGCUAGUAGGUGAGGUAAGAGCUCACCUAGGCGACGAUCAGUAGCGGGUCUGAGAGGAUGAUCCGCCACACUGGGACUGAGACACGGCCCAGACUCCUACGGGAGGCAGCAGUGGGGAAUUUUGGACAAUGGGCGCAAGCCUGAUCCAGCCAUGCCGCGUGUCUGAAGAAGGCCUUCGGGUUGUAAAGGACUUUUGUCAGGGAGGAAAUCCUUAGCGCUAAUACAGUUGAGGGAUGACAGUACCUGAAGAAUAAGCACCGGCUAACUACGUGCCAGCAGCCGCCGCCG